UGUAUGAGUCUCUUCAGAAUCAACAGAGCUCCUGGCGUCUGGUCUGUCUGUGCCAUGCCCGGGUUUUCAUGGCCUCAGUCUCCAGCAUCAAACAUGAGCUCAUCUUAUAACUCAGCCCAAGAGGAAGCCUUAGCAAGACAGAAGGAAGGCUUCGUCUAUUUAUACAUUCCCACAAAUGAAGCCUCUGUGAUGUUAGAUCAAGGCAACAACUGGUUUUAUCUCAAUGAACUAUAUUUUCCUCAUCUGCAAGAUGUUAUUUUUCAGCGUUAACAUGAGGAUCAAACGAGAAAAUAAAAAUCCCUGGAACUGCCUACA